GACGAACGCUGGCGGCGUGCUUAACACAUGCAAGUCGAACGGAAAGGCCCUGCUUUUGUGGGGUGCUCGAGUGGCGAACGGGUGAGUAACACGUGAGUAACCUGCCCUUGACUUUGGGAUAACUUCAGGAAACUGGGGCUAAUACCGGAUAGGAGCUCCUGCUGCAUGGUGGGGGUUGGAAAGUUUCGGCGGUUGGGGAUGGACUCGCGGCUUAUCAGCUUGUUGGUGGGGUAGUGGCUUACCAAGGCUUUGACGGGUAGCCGGCCUGAGAGGGUGACCGGCCACAUGGGGACUGAGAGACGGCCCAGACUCCUACGGUAGGCAGCAGUGGGGAAUAUUGCACAAUGGGCGGAAGCCUGAGGCAGCAACGCCGCGUGCGGGAUGACGGCCUUCGGGUUGUAAACCGCUUUCGCCUGUGACGAAGCGUGAGUGACGGUAAUGAGUAAAGAAGCACCGGCUAACUACGUG
rnacentral:rRNA from 1 species